rnacentral:rRNA from 1 species
UACAGAGGUCUCAAGCGUUGUUCGGAUUUAUUGGGCGUAAAGAGCGUGUAGGCGGCCAGAUAGGUCCGUUGUGAAAACUGGAGGCUUAACCUCCAGCGGUCGAUGGAAACCAUUUGGCUAGAGUCCGGAAGAGGAGAGUGGAAUUCCUGGUGUAGCGGUGAAAUGCGCAGAUAUCAGGAAGAACACCCGUGGCGAAGGCGGCUCUCUGGGACGGUACUGACGCUGAGACGCGAAAGCGUGGGGAGCGAACAGG